rnacentral:rRNA from 1 species
AUCCUGGCUCAGGACGAACGCUGGCGGCGUGCUUAACACAUGCAAGUCGAACGGUGAUGCCCAGCUUGCUGGGCGGAUCAGUGGCGAACGGGUGAGUAACACGUGAGUAACCUGCCCCAGACUCCGGGAUAAGCCUUGGAAACGAGGUCUAAUACUGGAUACGAGAUGCCCCUGCAUGGGGAGUGUCUGGAAAGAUUUAUCGGUCUGGGAUGGACUCGCGGCCUAUCAGCUUGUUGGUGGGGUAAUGGCCUACCAAGGCGACGACGGGUAGCCGGCCUGAGAGGGCGACCGGCCACACUGGGACUGAGACACGGCCCAGACUCCUACGGGAGGCAGCAGUGGGGAAUAUUGCACAAUGGGCGAAAGCCUGAUGCAGCGACGCCGCGUGAGGGAUGAAGGCCUUCGGGUUGUAAACCUCUUUCAGCAGGGAAGAAGCGCAAGUGACGGUACCUGCAGAAGAAGCGCCGGCUAACUACUGCCACA